rnacentral:rRNA from 2 species
AAUACGACUCUCGGCAACGGAUAUCUCGGCUCUCGCAUCGAUGAAGAACGUAGCAAAAUGCGAUACCUGGUGUGAAUUGCAGAAUCCCGCGAACCAUCGAGUUUUUGAACGCAAGUUGCGCCCGAGGCCUUCUGGUCGAGGGCACGCCUGCCUGGGCGUCACGC